rnacentral:rRNA from 1 species
GACGAACGCUGGCGGCGUGCUUAACACAUGCAAGUCGAGCGGUAAGGCCCUUCGGGGUACACGAGCGGCGAACGGGUGAGUAACACGUGAGCAAUCUGCCCUUCUCUUUGGAAUAACCAUUGGAAACGAUGGCUAAUACCGAAUAUGAACCCCCUUCGCAUGUUGGGGGUUGGAAAGCUCCGGCGGAGAUGGAUGAGCUCGCGGCCUAUCAGCUUGUUGGUGAGGUAAUGGCUCACCAAGGCAUUGACGGGUAGCCGGCCUGAGAGGGUGACCGGCCACACUGGGACUGAGACACGGCCCAGACUCCUACGGGAGGCAGCAGUGGGGAAUAUUGGACAAUGGGCGAAAGCCUGAUCCAGCAACGCCGCGUGAGGGAUGACGGCCUUCGGAUUGUAAACCUCUUUCAGCAGGGACGAAGCGAGAGUGACGGUACCUGCAGAAGAAGGACCGGCCAACUACGUGCCAGCAGCCGCGGUAAUACGUAGGGUCCGAGCGUUGUCCGGAAUUAUUGGGCGUAAAGGGCUCGUAGGCGGUUUGUCGCGUCGGGAGUGAAAACUCAGGGCUCAACCCUGAGCGUGCUUCCGAUACGGGCAGACUAGAGGUAUUCAGGGGAGAACGGAAUUCCUGGUGUAGCGGUGGAAUGCGCAGAUAUCAGGAGGAACACCGGUGGCGAAGGCGGUUCUCUGGGAAUUACCUGACGCUGAGGAGCGAAAGCAUGGGGAGCGAACAGGAUUAGAUACCCUGGUAGUCCAUGCCGUAAACGUUGGGCGCUAGGUGUGGGGACCUUCCACGGUUUCCGUGCCGCAGCUAACGCAUUAAGCGCCCCGCCUGGGGAGUACGGCCGCAAGGCUAAAACUCAAAGGAAUUGACGGGGGCCCGCACAAGCGGCGGAGCAUGCUGAUUAAUUCGAUGCAACGCGAAGAACCUUACCUGGGUUUGACAUAUGCCGGAAAGCUGCAGAGAUGUGGCCUCCUUUUGGCCGGUAUACAGGUGGUGCAUGGCUGUCGUCAGCUCGUGUCGUGAGAUGUUGGGUUAAGUCCCGCAACGAGCGCAACCCUCGUUCUAUGUUGCCAGCACGUAAUGGUGGGGACUCAUAGGAGACUGCCGGGGUCAACUCGGAGGAAGGUGGGGAUGACGUCAAGUCUUCAUGCCCCUUAUGUCCAGGGCUUCAAGCAUGCUACAAUGGCCGGUACAAAGGGCUGCGAAACUGUAAGGUGGAGCGAAUCCCAAAAAGCCGGUCUCAGUUCGGAUUGGGGUCUGCAACUCGACCCCAUGAAGUCGGAGUCGCUAGUAAUCGCAGAUCAGCAACGCUGCGGUGAAUACGUUCCCGGGCCU